rnacentral:rRNA from 1 species
CACUCCUACGGGAGGCAGCAGUGAGGAAUAUUGGACAAUGGGUGGAAGCCUGAUCCAGCCAUCCCGCGUGCAGGAAGACGGCCCUAUGGGUUGUAAACUGCUUUUAUCUGGGGAUAAACCUACUUACGUGUAAGUAGCUGAAGGUACCAGAAGAAUAAGCACCGGCUAACUCCGUGCCAGCAGCCGCGGUAAUACGGAGGGUGCAAGCGUUAUCCGGAUUUAUUGGGUUUAAAGGGUCCGUAGGCGGACUGAUAAGUCAGUGGUGAAAUCCGACAGCUUAACUGUCGAACUGCCAUUGAUACUGUUAGUCUUGAGUAAGGUUGAAGUGGCUGGAAUAAGUAGUGUAGCGGUGAAAUGCAUAGAUAUUACUUAGAACACCAAUUGCGAAGGCAGGUCACUAAGUCUUAACUGACGCUGAUGGACGAAAGCGUGGGGAGCGAACAGGAUUAGAAACCCUGGUAGUCCCAUGA